GUGGGGAAUCUUGCGCAAUGGGCGAAAGCCUGACGCAGCCAUGCCGCGUGAAUGAUGAAGGUCUUAGGAUUGUAAAAUUCUUUCACCGGGGACGAUAUUGACGGUACCCGGAGAAGAAGCUCCGGCUAACUUCGUGCCAGCAGCCGCGGUAAUACGAAGGGGGCUAGCGUUGCUCGGAAUUACUGGGCGUAAAGGGCGCGUAGGCGGACAGCUUAGUCAGAGGUGAAAGCCCAGGGCUCAACCUUGGAAUUGCCUUUGAUACUGGCUGUCUUGAGUUUGGGAGAGGUGAGUGGAACUCCAAGUGUAGAGGUGAAAUUCGUAGAUAUUCGGAAGAACACCAGUGGCGAAGGCGACUCACUGGCCCAAUACUGACGCUGAGGCGCGAAAGCGUGGGGAGCAAACAGGAUUAGAUACCCCGGUAGUCC
rnacentral:rRNA from 1 species